GACCUCGUAGCUCAGCUGGUAGAGCGUGUGCCCACAGGCGUAGGCUGCGUCCAUGCGUGAGUUCGAAUCCCACCGAUGCUA
rnacentral:tRNA from 1 species